rnacentral:misc_RNA from 1 species
GAUGAAGAACGUAGCGAAAUGCGAUACUUGGUGUGAAUUGCAGAAUCCCGUGAACCAUCGAGUCUUUGAACGCAAGUUGCGCCCGAAGCCAUUAGGCCGAGGGCACGCCUGCCUGGGCGUCACACGUCGUUGCCCCCCCCAUCUACUCCUUCGGGAUUGCGGGGGGCGGAUGAUGGCCUCCCGUGUGCCUCGCCGCGCGGUUGGCAUAAAUACCAAGUCCUCGGCGACGCACGCCACGACAAUCGGUGGUUGCGAAACCUCGGUUGCCCGUCGUGUGCGGUCGUCGCGCAUCGAGGGCUCGAAAAAAUUGCCGGGUUCCGGCUCGGCUUUCAACGCGACCCCAGGUCAGGCGGGAUUACCCGCUGAAUUUAAGCAUAUCAAUAAGCGGAGGA